rnacentral:rRNA from 1 species
AGAGUUUGAUCCUGGCUCAGAGCGAACGCUGGCGGCGUGCUUAACACAUGCAAGUCGAGUGCGCGUUUCCGUAACAAUACGGAGAUGGCGCACGGCGCACGGGUGCGUAACACGUGGGUAAUCUGCCCUCUGAUGGGGAAUAACUCGCCGAAAGGCGAGCUAAUUCCGCAUAACAUUCCUUGGACUCCGGUUCGAGGAUUCAAAGGCGUAAGUCGUCGGAGGUGGAGCCCGCGCACGAUUAGCUAGUUGGUGAGGUAAUGGCUCACCAAGGCUAUGAUCGUUAGCUGGUCUGAGAGGAUGGCCAGCCACACUGGAACUGAGACACGGUCCAGACUCCUACGGGAGGCAGCAGUGGGGAAUCUCGCACAAUGGGCGAAAGCCUGAUGCAGCGACGCCGCGUGGGGGAUGAAGCUUCUCGGAGUGUAAACCCCUUUCGACCGGGACGAAUACCUCGCAAGAGGGGUGACGGUACCGGUAUAAGAAGCCCCGGCUAACUACGUGCCAGCAGCCGCGGUAAGACGUAGGGGGCCAGCGUUGCUCGGAAUUACUGGGUGUAAAGGGUUCGUAGGCGGUGUGGCAAGUCGGGAGUGAAAUCUCUGGGCUCAACCCAGGGGCUGCUUCCGAAACUGCCGUGCUAAAGUGUGG